ensembl:lncRNA
GUAAAGAAUAUUGCUGUUCAGAGUGACUGCCUCUCCCCAUUGGUAUCUUACAGCUGAUUUGCAUCCCCAUGUGCCUAACAAAAACAGAAAACCACAGGGGGAGGUAGGAAAUGUUACAUGCAAAAUUAUGUACCAUCUAUAUCUGAUGAAAUGAAAAGUAUUUGGAAAGACUCAAUGGCUCUUCACCAGAUGUUAUUGAGGAACCUGGAGAUCCUGUCAGGGAUGAAGUGGAUUAUUCGUGGCCUCCUGCUUAUUUUAUCUGCUUUUCUCUGCAUAUCUGCAUAUCCAAAACCUGUUUGUCCUCUAAAGUCAAAAUCUGCAUGCACACAAAAUGGAAAUAAUAAGAUCAAUAUGUUCAUACUGGGUCCAUGUGGUUUUAAAGGAUACAUGGAAAUAACUAAUUGCAAUCAUAAUAAAUGGGAUAUUUCACAGAACCAGACAGUGAGCUCACUUAAGUGCCAUUCUACUGUAUCAUCAGAGAACCUAUUCAAAGUCUAUGCUUUUCCAAUUGUUGAAAACGCAUCCGGUACAACACACAGUAGUGACUGUGGUGUUACUUUAUCAGGCAACUCACCUUACAAACUCAACAUAAACAGAUGUGUUAUGCCCAGGUUUGUCUGUUUAAUUGAAAAGAAAUGUAAAACUGACACUUUGACACACUGGAUGACAGAAGGUUGUAACUGGAUCCACCAAACCCCUACGUAUUUUAAGAAUGAUACAUGUAAUAUGACCUGCCUGAAUCCCAGAAAGACGUGUGAGAAUGCACAAUAUGAUUUGAACUGUAAAGGUGAUAAUGUAGGUAAUAUAAACAACAUUGUCAUCAGUGAUAACAUUCCAACUUGUUAUAAGUGUGGAAGUCCUCUUCCAAAUACGCCAAAAAUUAACACAUCCACAGUUUAUUUCAAUACUAAUAAAACAGAGAUAGAUGCUUCGGCAGCUGCUAAGGUCAUGGGAAACCUCUCCAGUGUUGUGUCUUUGAUGGGGAAUCAAACCGUUGCCUCUAUAUCCAUGGGUAAUGUUCAAGGGGUUUUAAAGAAAAUUCAAACUGAGUCUGAAAUCACAACAUCCUACUUCAUCUACUCUUCAGAAUCUGGCAUCAGUGUUAUAGAGGAUUUGGACGAACUGGAGAAUUUUCCCAAUGCUUUCUGUAUUCCAGCAGAAGCAGCUAAGGAAGCGCUCAACCAAAGUGCAGGAAGUGCUUUUAUGGGUAUUUUCCGCUUUCCCAACAUGUCAAAGGAUGCAGAGAAUAGUACGGUUUUGAAUGAUGAGGUUUAUGCAAUCGAAAUGGGGACAAAAAUUUCAAAUCUGAGUGAAAACAUCAGCUUGACAUUCGAAUAUCAGGUAUUCAAAUGUAUGGGGAAAAAAAGUGUUUCUAGAAAUGUAAAAUGCAUCCGAAUCUUAUUUUGUGAAAUUCUGAUGUAUUUCUCAGCAGGAGAAAGAGAAAAUUCCUGUUUGUCACUCAUGGGAUGGAAGCGGUCUGUGAUGCUCUUGUGUUCUUGUUUUUUAUUUGUGCAUUUUUUUUAUAGCACAGACAUUGAAAUAUUCUUUAAAAAAUGUCACAUUAAAAUAAUACACUUUCAGUUUCCAUAUCACAGAGAGCUAAAUUUCAAUGUUGGCAUUCGUACUUAAGCAAAUUUAGGAGAAUUGGUUAAGAGUUUGAAUCUUUCGCCCCAUGCUGCUGACCAAAGCAUAAUGUCAGUUUCAUUAAUUCCCUCUAAAUCUACUCAAAACUAACCAGUCCCUCCUUUUUUCAGGAAAUAGGCCAAACUGGACAACCGAAGGGUGCAGUACCCUUGAAGGAAUAAACAAUGUAACAUGUCAAUGCA